UGGGGAAUAUUGCACAAUGGGCGCAAGCCUGAUGCAGCCAUGCCGCGUGUGUGAAGAAGGCCUUCGGGUUGUAAAGCACUUUCAGCGAGGAGGAAGGUGGUGAGCUUAAUACGCUCAUCAAUUGACGUUACUCGCAGAAGAAGCACCGGCUAACUCCGUGCCAGCAGCCGCGGUAAUACGGAGGGUGCAAGCGUUAAUCGGAAUUACUGGGCGUAAAGCGCACGCAGGCGGUUUGUUAAGUCAGAUGUGAAAUCCCCGGGCUCAACCUGGGAACUGCAUUUGAAACUGGCAAGCUAGAGUCUCGUAGAGGGGGGUAGAAUCCCAGGUGUAGCGGUGAAAUGCGUAGAGAUCUGGAGGAAUACCGGUGGCGAAGGCGGCCCCCCUGGACGAAGACUGACGCUCAGGUGCGAAAGCGUGGGGCAGCAAACAGGAUUAGAUACCCUGGUAGUCCAGCGCUGUAAAACGAUGUCGAUUUGGAGGUUGUGCCCUUGAGGCGUGGCUUCCGGAGCUAACGCGUUAAAUCGACCGCCUGGGGGAGUACGGCCGCAAGGUUAAAACUUAAAGGAAUUGACGGGGUCUAGCUG
rnacentral:rRNA from 1 species